GCACCCGUAGCUCAGUUGGAUAGAGUGUGACCCUCCGAAGGUCAAGGUCGCAUGUUCGAAUCAUGUCGGGUGCGCCA
rnacentral:tRNA from 1 species